GGCAAUAAAAGAAUCUAAUACAACGACUCUUUAUAACCGUUGCAACAGCAUACCCUACUGCAACGGCUACAUUCUAAUGCAACGAUAUAUUUACAACCGUUGUGUUAGAGGGGUCUAAUGCGACGUUCAAUGAGGUAAAAAAAAAUAUUAAGUACGGAAUACUACAUAGGCAUCGUAUCUUUUAAUUAAUUUCCCUCCUUUAUUUUCCCCAUAUUUCAAAACCUAUUGGGUUAAUUUUGUGAGUUUAUUUUCUCUCUCUCCUCAUUUACUUCCAUCUUCUUUCUUUUCCUAAGUCGUCGUCCUACUCAAAAAAAAAAAAAAAAAAAAAAAAAAAAAAUCACCGUUGUCUCAACGCCGGUUGAAGCUCUGAAUACCGAGCUCGAAGGUUCAUCUACCUUUACUAAAGAUAACUACGAGGUGAAUUGAUAUAAAGUUGGCAAUUUGGAUAGCAAAUUAUUGAGCGAAUUGUUCCCCUCAACCUCAAUUUUCGUCACCAGAUUGUAUGUGAGCUUCGACUUAUCUCAACAAAGGAACUAGUAGUGGAAUGGUAGCAGCCAAUGCAACAACUAGGAGCUUACUAGGGGAAUGAAGCUACAGUUGUUACUCUUACAUUCAAUCUAUAGAAAUGCCAAGCCCAAAAAAAAGGUAACAUACUCACUAAUGCAGUUUAAAUAGCUUCAAUUCAUGAGAACACCCUUUAGAUGCAUUUUUUGGGAGUAAUGUGGUUUGGUUUUAGCUUGUUUUAAAAAUGAAUUUGAGUGUGUUUGUGUGUAUUUGUACACUAGAGAGAAAGUGGAAAGAAAUUUUGUAAGCCCCAAAAUGUAGUGAUAGGUUUAAAAUGUUCAUGGAAAUUAUUACUAUUACCGUAAUGGUCAUGAACUGGCCUUAAAUAAUUCUUGGAUUGUAUCAAGUCUAGAAACUACUCAUUUUAUCCUAUAGAAUGUGUCAUGGAGUAUUGAGUAUGUGUUGGUCUUUGUCGCAACUUGUGAUAUUGAGUCUAGCUCUCGAGCACUGAUCAAGCACUAUCUACUUAUUUGCAAAGACACUACUCAAACAGGACUGUAGUGGAGCUUGAAAUUGCAGUUCAUGGAGAAAUGAGAAUUACAGAACUACACCUUUGCAAACUAACAUUUAUUGGAAAAACCAAGCACUGACGCAACUACUAAAUAUUUAUAAGUAUUUGUCACCACAAAAGCUAAUGGUAAUGCUGUCAUGUUUCAUUAGAAGGAUUUUCCUUAAUCAUCCCCUGUAUGUCUGCAGGAUCAGAGAAAUUAUUCAUUCUUUUCUCAUUUUCCCCUGGCAUUAUGUUAUACCUCCAUUGAAGUGCACUCAAAGUUCUCCAUUAAAGCAGUUAUUGUGUGCAGGGAGGUGUUGCACACAAUUUAAAUCAUAGAAACUUAAAAAGACGAACUUAUAGUAACAAAAUAAAACACUUAUUUUGUAUGAAUUUAUACGGUUACAUUUAUAUUGAUUUCCCUUCCUCAAUAAUUUCCCUUACUCAUUUUUCUUUACAUUAAGGUUGUCAUUGCAGCUAGAGCCAAUGUUAAAGGUCACUUUUCAUCACAACAAAACCAUGGGACUACUGAUAUUUAAGAUAGACCCUAACCAUUUCUAUUAUGCAGGUUCUUUGUACCUCUUUAACCUCAAAAUUUUUGUGAUUUCUCUCUGAAAAAUUAUCAUACUAGAUAUCUAGGCUAUCUAGGCUAAUUGUAUAUCUAGCCAUGUAAGUAUGAUAAAUGAGAUUGAUUUUGUCUGUGUGAGAUUUGAACUUUUUUUUGUUAUAUGUGUGGAUGAAAUAGAAUACAUAACGCUUAGCUUUUGCUUGGGAGUUAGUUUUCAAUUGUUUAGAGUAGGUGUGUUUGCCUUAUCUUCUUAUGGUGUUUCUUGUCUGCAUUUAUAAUUCCUUGCCAAUUACAUCAUAAUUGUAGUGGCUUUAUAUUAAAGUAAGCUAAGUUUAACCUCUGGAGUGUCUAUUUUUAUUGAGUUGGAUAGGUUCCAAGAAGCUAAUCCUUGAAUAUUUUUGGUGAUUAUUCCUGAAUUUUUUAAACCAUCAAUUCCAAAGGAUGCGCAAUUAUAAAAAUGCGCAAUGGAGUUAGAGUUGAUUGUUUAUAAAAAUGCAAUGGUCAAUUAUAUGAUAGUAAGAAGCAGUUUAGCAGCUUGGAGGAUAUUGUAUAAUUCGGGUGAUGAAACGCUCUGAAGAGGAAGCUAACAACCCCAAAUCAUAAGUCAAAGAUUGGGUUCACUCGGGGCCCAAGCUCAUCUAUUAUCUUCUCAGAGGAAGGAAAUAAGAGUGAGAAACACCACAAUCAAGGAAAUUGAAGUUAAAUUCAAGUUGCUAUCUGAGGCUUAUGAUAUCGGGCUAUUUGCGAAUAUUCAUUUGUUGUAGUAGGCCUGAAUAUUACCUUCACGCUGAUGAAGUUGUUAGAUCUUGUUACAUUUCGACUAGGUUUAAGACAUGCAAGCAAAUGUAGUGCAAGUCUUCUCUGAUGUAAACAUAGGUGGAGAGCCAGGUAGAGGAAUUUUGGGCUUAGUUGAAGAUUUUUGAACUUGUAAUUUAGUUUUUCUAACAAUAUCAAAAUCAUGUUCCGACGAAUAAACAUGUAGUUUUAAGUGAUAUUUGAAUAUGUAACCUAAUUUUUCUGAGUGCGAAAUUGUAUAAAUAUACUCUUAAUUUUUAAAUUUCA